rnacentral:rRNA from 1 species
UAAACGAUGUGGGAAGGCUUAGACAGCUAGGAGGUUGGCUUAGAAGCAGCCAUCCUUUAAAGAAAGCGUAAUAGCUCACUAGUCGAGUCGGCCUGCGCGGAAGAUGUAACGGGGCUCAAACCACACACCGAAGCUGCGGGUGUCACGUAAGUGACGCGGUAGAGGAGCGUUCUGUAAGCCUGUGAAGGUGAGUUGAGAAGCUUGCUGGAGGUAUCAGAAGUGCGAAUGCUGACAUGAGUAACGACAAUGGGUGUGAAAAACACCCACGCCGAAAGACCAAGGGUUCCUGCGCAACGUUAAUCGACGCAGGGUUAGUCGGUUCCUAAGGCGAGGCUGAAAAGCGUAGUCGAUGGGAAACAGGUUAAUAUUCCUGUACUUCUGGUUACUGCGAUGGAGGGACGGAGAAGGCUAGGCCAGCUUGGCGUUGGUUGUCCAAGUUUAAGGUGGUAGGCUGAAAUCUUAGGUAAAUCCGGGGUUUCAAGGCCGAGAGCUGAUGACGAGUCGUCUUUUAGAUGACGAAGUGGUUGAUGCCAUGCUUCCAAGAAAAGCUUCUAAGCUUCAGGUAACCAGGAACCGUACCCCAAACCGACACAGGUGGUCGGGUAGAGAAUACCAAGGCGCUUGAGAGAACUCGGGUGAAGGAACUAGGCAAAAUGGCACCGUAACUUCGGGAGAAGGUGCGCCGGCUAGGGUGAAGGAUUUACUCCGUAAGCUCUGGCUGGUCGAAGAUACCAGGCCGCUGCGACUGUUUAUUAAAAACACAGCACUCUGCAAACACGAAAGUGGACGUAUAGGGUGUGACGCCUGCCCGGUGCCGGAAGGUUAAUUGAUGGGGUUAGCGCAAGCGAAGCUCUUGAUCGAAGCCCCGGUAAACGGCGGCCGUAACUAUAACGGUCCUAAGGUAGCGAAAUUCCUUGUCGGGUAAGUUCCGACCUGCACGAAUGGCGUAACGAUGGCGGCGCUGUCUCCACCCGAGACUCAGUGAAAUUGAAAUCGCUGUGAAGAUGCAGUGUAUCCGCGGCUAGACGGAAAGACCCCGUGAACCUUUACUGUAGCUUUGCACUGGACUUUGAGCCUGCUUGUGUAGGAUAGGUGGGAGGCUUUGAAGCGUGGACGCCAGUUCGCGUGGAGCCAUCCUUGAAAUACCACCCUGGCAUGCUUGAGGUUCUAACUCUGGUCCGUGAUCCGGAUCGAGGACAGUGUAUGGUGGGCAGUUUGACUGGGGCGGUCUCCUCCUAAAGAGUAACGGAGGAGUACGAAGGUGCGCUCAGACCGGUCGGAAAUCGGUCGCAGAGUAUAAAGGCAAAAGCGCGCUUGACUGCGAGACAGACACGUCGAGCAGGUACGAAAGUAGGUCUUAGUGAUCCGGUGGUUCUGUAUGGAAGGGCCAUCGCUCAACGGAUAAAAGGUACUCCGGGGAUAACAGGCUGAUACCGCCCAAGAGUUCAUAUCGACGGCGGUGUUUGGCACCUCGAUGUCGGCUCAUCACAUCCUGGGGCUGAAGCCGGUCCCAAGGGUAUGGCUGUUCGCCAUUUAAAGUGGUACGCGAGCUGGGUUUAGAACGUCGUGAGACAGUUCGGUCCCUAUCUGCCGUGGACGUUUGAGAUUUGAGAGGGGCUGCUCCUAGUACGAGAGGACCGGAGUGGACGAACCUCUGGUGUUCCGGUUGUCACGCCAGUGGCAUUGCCGGGUAGCUAUGUUCGGAAAAGAUAACCGCUGAAAGCAUCUAAGCGGGAAACUUGCCUCAAGAUGAGAUCUCACUGGGAACUUGAUUCCCCUGAAGGGCCGUCGAAGACUACGACGUUGAUAGGCUGGGUGUGUAAGCGUUGUGAGGCGUUGAGCUAACCAGUACUAAUUGCCCGUGAGGCUUGACCA